rnacentral:rRNA from 1 species
UGAUUCCCCUAGUAACGGCGAGCGAAGAGGGAAUAGCUCAAAUUUUAAAUCUGUUAGUUUACCUAACCGAGUUGUAAUUUGAAGAAACGUUUUCCGCAUUUUCGAUUAGCCCAAAUCCUUUGGGAUAAGGUAUCAUGGAGGGUGAGAAUCCCGUCCGGCUAAAUCGAAGGUGUUUUACGAUACGUUUUCUAAGAGUCGAGUUGUUUGGGAUUGCAGCUCAAAAUGGGAGGUAAAUUUCUCCUAAGGCUAA